CAGCGGCGGACGGGUGAGUAAUGCCUAGGAAUCUGCCUGGUAGUGGGGGAUAACGUCCGGAAACGGGCGCUAAUACCGCAUACGUCCUGAGGGAGAAAGUGGGGGAUCUUCGGACCUCACGCUAUCAGAUGAGCCUAGGUCGGAUUAGCUAGUUGGUGGGGUAAAGGCCUACCAAGGCGACGAUCCGUAACUGGUCUGAGAGGAUGAUCAGUCACACUGGAACUGAGACACGGUCCAGACUCCUACGGGAGGCAGCAGUGGGGAAUAUUGGACAAUGGGCGAAAGCCUGAUCCAGCCAUGCCGCGUGUGUGAAGAAGGUCUUCGGAUUGUAAAGCACUUUAAGUUGGGAGGAAGGGCAGUAAGUUAAUACCUUGCUGUUUUGACGUUACCAACAGAAUAAGCACCGGCUAACUUCGUGCCAGCAGCCGCGGUAAUACGAAGGGUGCAAGCGUUAAUCGGAAUUACUGGGCGUAAAGCGCGCGUAGGUGGUUCAGCAAGUUGGAUGUGAAAUCCCCGGGCUCAACCUGGGAACUGCAUCCAAAACUACUGAGCUAGAGUACGGUAGAGGGUGGUGGAAUUUCCUGUGUAGCGGUGAAAUGCGUAGAUAUAGGAAGGAACACCAGUGGCGAAGGCGACCACCUGGACUGAUACUGACACUGAGGUGCGAAAGCGUGGGGAGCAAGCAGGAUUAGAUACCCUGGUAGUCCACGCCGUAAACGAUGUCGACUAGCCGUUGGGAUCCUUGAGAUCUUAGUGGCGCAGCUAACGCGAUAAGUCGACCGCCUGGGGAGUACGGCCGCAAGGUUAAAACUCAAAUGAAUUGACGGGGGCCCGCACAAGCGGUGGAGCAUGUGGUUUAAUUCGAAGCAACGCGAAGAACCUUACCUGGCCUUGACAUGCUGAGAACUUUCCAGAGAUGGAUUGGUGCCUUCGGGAACUCAGACACAGGUGCUGCAUGGCUGUCGUCAGCUCGUGUCGUGAGAUGUUGGGUUAAGUCCCGUAACGAGCGCAACCCUUGUCCUUAGUUACCAGCACCUCGGGUGGGCACUCUAAGGAGACUGCCGGUGACAAACCGGAGGAAGGUGGGGAUGACGUCAAGUCAUCAUGGCCCUUACGGCCAGGGCUACACACGUGCUACAAUGGUCGGUACAAAGGGUUGCCAAGCCGCGAGGUGGAGCUAAUCCCACAAAACCGAUCGUAGUCCGGAUCGCAGUCUGCAACUCGACUGCGUGAAGUCGGAAUCGCUAGUAAUCGUGAAUCAGAAUGUCACGGUGAAUACGUUCCCGGGCCUUGUACACACCGCCCGUCACACCAUGGGAGUGGGUUGCUCCAGAAGUAGCUAGUCUAACCGCAAGGGGGACGGUUACCACGGAGUGAUUCAUGACUGGGGUGAAGUCGUAACAAGGU
rnacentral:rRNA from 1 species